rnacentral:rRNA from 1 species
CCUUUGCUGACGAGCGGCGGACGGGUGAGUAAUGCUUGGGAAUAUGCCUUUUGGUGGGGGACAACAGUUGGAAACGACUGCUAAUACCGCAUGAUGUCUACGGACCAAAGUGGGGGACCUUCGGGCCUCACGCCAAAAGAUUAGCCCAAGUGGGAUUAGCUAGUUGGUAAGGUAAUGGCUUACCAAGGCGACGAUCCCUAGCUGGUUUGAGAGGAUGAUCAGCCACACUGGGACUGAGACACGGCCCAGACUCCUACGGGAGGCAGCAGUGGGGAAUAUUGCACAAUGGGCGCAAGCCUGAUGCAGCCAUGCCGCGUGUGUGAAGAAGGCCUUCGGGUUGUAAAGCACUUUCAGUAAGGAGGAAAGGUUAAGUUUUAAUAGAGCUUAGCUGUGACGUUACUAACAGAAGAAGCACCGGCUAA